GAGUUUGAACCUGGCUCAGGAUGAACGCUGGCGGCGUGCUUAACACAUGCAAGUCGAAUGUAGCAAUACAUGGCGGACGGGUGAGUAACGCGUGAGCAAUCUGCCCAUAUCUGGGGGAUAACAGUUGGAAACGACUGAUAAUACCGCAUAACAUGGUUUGAAGGCAUCUUCUUUCCAUCAAAGAUUUAUCGGAUAUGGAUGAGCUCGCGUCUGAUUAGCUUGUUGGUGAGGUAACGGCUCACCAAGGCGACGAUCAGUAGCCGACCUGAGAGGGUGAUCGGCCACAUUGGAACUGAGACACGGUCCAAACUCCUACGGGAGGCAGCAGUGGGGAAUAUUGGGCAAUGGAGGAAACUCUGACCCAGCAACGCCGCGUGAAUGAUGAAGGUCUUCGGAUUGUAAAGUUCUUUUCUAAGGGAAGAAGAAAGUGACGGUACCUUAGGAAUAAGCCUCGGCUAACUACGUGCCAGCAGCCGCGGUAAUACGUAGGAGGCAAGCGUUAUCCGGAAUGACUGGGCGUAAAGGGUGCG
rnacentral:rRNA from 1 species